rnacentral:miRNA from 15 species
CAUCAAUUUCCCUAGCUUGCAU